GACAUACUCUCUCCGUUUGAAAAAGUGUGUCCCAAGUUUGUUCCUUAAAUUGAUGUAUCUAACACUAACUUGGUGCUAGAUACAUCCAUUUGAGGGACAAGCUUUUUCGAAUGGAUGGAGUACUUU
rnacentral:pre_miRNA from 1 species